GUGCCAGCCGCCGCGGUAAUACGGAGGGUGCAAGCGUUAAUCGGAAUUACUGGGCGUAAAGCGUGCGUAGGCGGCUGCCUAAGUUGGAUGUGAAAGCCCCGGGCUCAACCUGGGAACUGCAUCCAAAACUGGGCAGCUAGAGUGCGGAAGAGGAGUGUAGAAUUUCCUGUGUAGCGGUGAAAUGCGUAGAUAUAGGAAGGAACACCAGUGGCGAAGGCGACACUCUGGUCUGACACUGACGCUGAGGUACGAAAGCGUGGGGAGCAAACAGGAUUAGAUACCCUGGUAGUCCACGCCGUAAACGAUGUCUACUAGUCAUCGGGUCUCUUGCGGACUUGGUGACGCAGCUAACGCGAUAAGUAGACCGCCUGGGGAGUACGGCCGCAAGGUUAAAACUCAAAUAAAUUGGCGG
rnacentral:rRNA from 1 species